rnacentral:rRNA from 1 species
CCUAACACAUGCAAGUCGAACGGUAACAGGAAGAAGCUUGCUUCUUUGCUGACGAGUGGCGGACGGGUGAGUAAUGUCUGGGAAGCUGCCUGAUGGAGGGGGAUAACUACUGGAAACGGUAGCUAAUACCGCAUAACGUCGCAAGACCAAAGAGGGGGACCUUCGGGCCUCUUGCCAUCGGAUGUGCCCAGAUGGGAUUAGCUAGUAGGUGGGGUAACGGCUCACCUAGGCGACGAUCCCUAGCUGGUCUGAGAGGAUGACCAGCCACACUGGAACUGAGACACGGUCCAGACUCCUACGGGAGGCAGCAGUGGGGAAUAUUGCACAAUGGGCGCAAGCCUGAUGCAGCCAUGCCGCGUGUAUGAAGAAGGCCUUCGGGUUGUAAAGUACUUUCAGCGGGGAGGAAGGGAGUAAAGUUAAUACCUUUGCUCAUUGACGUUACCCGCAGAAGAAGCACCGGCUAACUCCGUGCCAGCAGCCGCGGUAAUACGGAGGGUGCAAGCGUUAAUCGGAAUUACUGGGCGUAAAGCGCACGCAGGCGGUUUGUUAAGUCAGAUGUGAAAUCCCCGGGCUCAACCUGGGAACUGCAUCUGAUACUGGCAAGC